UGGAAAGAAUUUCAAAGUUUCAAGCUACCAAGGUUCCAACGAAGCCCCAUGAUCCCAUUUGGACAAUUAGGGAAGUUAGGAUCAACUAAAGGCUCAAAUAAUACCAAUCACAAGGCAGCUGGUAACUAGGUUGAAGUGUCUUCGUAUAUUAGACCCUUGGUAGUGUCUCGGCAUUCAGUAGCUGUACAUUCGUCUGAGUCUCUCCGCUAGAAGUCGAGUACUCUUUUGUUAUGUAUAGACAAACUCAAUGUAAAUUAUUAAGACAUAUGUUUAGACAACACAUGUAUAUUAGUUGGUAAUGCCAUUAUAAGUUGGCAAUGAAUAGCAUUACUGGAUUCUAAAUUAUGAAAUGUGACUUUUGAAAUUUGAUGGAAUAACGAGCAGGAUAAUAUAGCUAGGCUUACUUGGGCUUAGUGGGCUACGUCCAUUGAGCCCUCGCGCCAGUCAUGGCCCGGGAUUUGGGUCGUGACAC